GAGUAUUGGUAGUCCAUCAUGUGGGAAUGCUUUUGCAUUCGACUAUAUUUAUUUUGGUUUCUGAUGAGUGAUGGCUAUAUAAUCAAUGUGUACCCGAUGAAUAUUGCAGUUUGUUAGCAGAGUGAGUCUUUUAAUCACUAAGAUCAAUCAUGAAAUGAUUGAUUGUGUUUGAAAGUUUGUAUGAAAUGAUUGGCGGGUUUUGGAAUUGUUGAUGGAAUAAAUCGUGGGUUUAUGAGUUUACGGUUUAUAUAUUGUCAGUUUCUGGCGUAUUUUGAUUUCGUAUGCAUUGGUAUUAAUGGUGGGAACUGGAGGACCCAUUUCUCCGGUCCAUAUGAGCUACUGGACGACGACAGAGUUGCAGGGAGGACAACUUCUCACUCCUCUCUUCCUCUUAGACUUCGAUGUUGUGGCAAGGCUCUUCCUUUUUUCUUUAUAAUCACCAUUCCACUUCCAAAUAAGUCAUAUUUUCAGGUAUUGUGUUUAUUCAUCUUAUUGUUUUUUUUUUGUUUUUUUAGCUUUUAGCUCAUUUGUUUCCAAUAUAGGAAUUGGGAUAUAGUAGGACUUAAUUUCAAGUUUAUUCCGUUUUAAAUUUCGGGGUUGAAUUUGGGGCUUUUGUUUAGGGGUUUAAGAACUGUGAUUUAAUGUUGUCAAAUUAGAUUUGGGAGUUCAUGUUGUGGCUUCGAAGUUCAAACUUCUUCUUGGAGAGGUAUUAGUAACACUGUUAAAAACUAAGACUUUUCAUUAUAAAAAGAAAAGGUUGUGAUAUGUUAUUUGGGUAUUUUAACUUUCUCUUUGCUGGUGGGGAAUUGUUCAGCUCGUGGAAAAUGUGUAAAAUGUUUUGAGUUAUGUUUCUAUGAAAAUAGGGUUUUUUUUAUUUUGUUCUGGCUUGCUUUGGUUUUCAUUGGGAAUAGUUGUGGUUCACGUUGUCUUUCAGCAACAAUGGAAUUUUCCUUUUUAUUGUUGAUUAUUUUCUUUCAACCAGUUCUGUUGAUGUUCCUUGAUCGCGUAUAUUUUUAGUACUUUACCAAUUUUCAGACCGUUAGUGGUCUGGCUCUUUGUUUAAUUAUGCUAGAUUUUAUAUUGUUAGUGAGUCAAGGAGUGAAGCUAAGAUGCUGAGAAAGAUCAGUGCACUAUUUGAGUAUUUUUUGUGGAAACUUGGAGAAUUUACUUCGAAACAUAUGAACUUUUUGUAGAUCAUAUCAUACAUGUAAUGUAUAGUCAAAAUGAAGAUGAUAAUAUUUAUCUAUAACGAAUAUGAACCUUGAGCAAUUAGCCAUGUAACCUUAUGCAAAGUCUUAUGCGACUGAACAACGUAGUAAUGCAUUUUUAAGUUUUUAAUGUUUGAAAGUUUUGGUCGUUGAACAUUACUAGAAAUAUGUGGUAGUUUCCCCUCUUGUUGGUUGUAUGAGCUGCUUUAUUUGUUUGUUUUUUUUAUCUUGAACACUUGUAAACUUAUUUUUUAUGGGGAGCACUUGUAUACUUUCAUUAUCAAUCUUCCGCUUCCAUUGUUGUUUGUUUUGGAGGGUUGAGUUGUGAUAUAAGAAUCAUCUUUAAGCAAGUGGUGAAAAGGUCCCAAA
rnacentral:lncRNA from 1 species